rnacentral:rRNA from 2 species
GAAACGACUGCUAAGACUGGAUAGGAGACAAGAGGGCAUCUUCUUGUUUUUAAAGACCUAGCAAUAGGUAUGCUUAGGGAGGAGCUUGCGUCACAUUAGUUAGUUGGUGGGGUAAAGGCCUACCAAGACUAUGAUGUGUAGCCGGGCUGAGAGGUUGAACGGCCACAUUGGGACUGAGACACGGCCCAAACUCCUACGGGAGGCAGCAGUAGGGAAUUUUCGGCAAUGGAGGAAACUCUGACCGAGCAACGCCGCGUGAACGAUGAAGUAUUUCGGUACGUAAAGUUCUUUUAUUAGGGAAGAAUAAAUGAUGGAAAAAUCAUUCUGACGGUACCUAAUGAAUAAGCCCCGGCUAACUAUGUGCCAGCAGCCGCGGUAAUACAUAGGGGGCAAGCGUUAUCCGGAAUUAUUGGGCGUAAAGGGUGCGUAGGCGGUUAAAUAAGUUUAUGGUCUAAGUGCAAUGCUCAACAUUGUGAUGCUAUAAAAACUGUUUAGCUAGAGUAAGAUAGAGGCAAGUGGAAUUCCAUGUGUAGUGGUAAAAUGCGUAAAUAUAUGGAGGAACACCAGUAGCGAAGGCGGCUUGCUGGGUCUUUACUGACGCUGAGGCACGAAAGCGUGGGGAGCAAACAGGAUUAGAUACCCUGGUAGUCCACGCCGUAAACGAUGAGUACUAAACGUUGGGUAAAACCAGUGUUGAAGUUAACACAUUAAGUACUCCGCCUGAGUAGUACGUACGCAAGUAUGAAACUUAAAGGAAUUGACGGGACUCCGCACAAGCGGUGGAUCAUGUUGUUUAAUUCGAAGGUACCCGAAAAACCUCACCAGGUCUUGACAUGCUUCUGCAAAGCUGUAGAAACACAGUGGAGGUUAUCAGUUGCACAGGUGGUGCAUGGUUGUCGUCAGCUCGUGUCGUGAGAUGUUGGGUUAAGUCCCGCAACGAGCGCAACCCUUAUUGUUAGUUACCAGCACGUAAUGGUGGGGACUUUAGCAAGACUGCCAGUGAUAAAUUGGAGGAAGGUGGGGACGACGUCAAAUCAUCAUGCCCCUUAUGACCUGGGCUACAAACGUGAUACAAUGGCUGUUACAAAGGGUAGCUGAAGCGCAAGUUUUUGGCGAAUCUCAAAAAAACAGUCUCAGUUCGGAUUGAAGUCUGCAACUCGACUUCAUGAAGUUGGAAUCGCUAGUAAUCGCGAAUCAGCAUGUCGCGGUGAAUACGUUCUCGGGGUUUGUACACACCGCCCG